UUUUAAGUCCAAUCAUUCGAGCUCCUUCUCUUCCUUCCUCCAUGAUAAAACAUUGUGAGAAACGGCUACCAGUUAUAUGCUAUGGUUAUGGUAAAAUCAUAUUGUGACCUGUUUUACUAAUUUCUCAAAAACUACAGAACCUCAGUUAGUAAUAUUCGAAGGGAAGCUUUCCACCAUCAUUAUCUUCAAACCUUGUGAUGACGUAGGAUAAUGGUGUUGCCUUGUAUGAUGCGCGGACCGCCAAAUUGAAUUCUCCUUCGAUAGUAUAAUACAGUCCGUCAAGCUGAUUAGGUGAACAUAGAUAUAGACGAGCUUCAUUGAAGAAUCAUUGGCGAGACUUCCAUGCUGCGAUCAUGACAUGUUGUGUGAUUGGUCUGUGACUACUUCUGACAACUAGAAGUCAAUAUUAUCCAUGACUGUAUAUAUCCCACGUCAUCUGAUCUGAAGUUUCAAUUCGAAGAGCAAUUCUGUAGAGAGAUGGCAAUCUCAAGAGUGCUAUACCUUCUUCUGUUAAUGCCCCUGGUCUGUGCCGAGAAUGGACACCAAUCAUUGAAUACUGGCCACUCCGGCAGUGACGAAGACAGCCUCGGGAGGCAGCCCGAGCCAGUGGGGAGAACAGACCCCGUGGCUCCCGUGAGAAUAGACAUCAUAUGUCAAGCAAGGUGUCUGGCUAAAUGUCUGGCAAACAAC